GGGCGUGUGGCUCAGUUGGUAGAGCGUUCGCUUAGCAUACCUACCUUCCAGACGGAGACUGAUAUGCGAAAGGUCCUGGGUUCGAUUCCCAGCUCGUCCA